GCCGCAGUGGCGGAAUUGGUAGACGCGCACGUUUCAGGGACGUGUGUCCAAUGGAUGUGGGGGUUCGAGUCCCCCCUGCGGCA
rnacentral:tRNA from 1 species